rnacentral:rRNA from 2 species
ACUAUUAAACAAGCAAGAGUUUUUGGUGGAUGCCUUGGGUCUGGAAGUCGAUGAAGGACGUGAUUACCUGCGAUAAGCCUCGGUUAGCUGGAAAUAAGCUGUUAUCCGGGGAUUUCCGAAUGGGGAAACCUAAUUGAGCUAAUCCUCAAUUAUCAUAUCGAUGAAUUCAUAGUCGAAUGAAGAGACACGCUGUGAAUUGAAACAUCUCAGUAGCAGCAGGAAGAGAAAAUAAAGAAUGAUUCCCUAAGUAGUGGCGAGCGAACGGGGAAGAGCCCAAACCAACACAUGUUGUUGGGGUUGUAGGACUGCGACAUGGAUUAAUGAAUUUGUACAUAGCAGAAUAAGUUGGAACGCUUAAACAUAGAGGGUGAAAUUCCCGUAAGCGAAAUGUAUAAAUCUCCUAGCAGUAUCCUGAGUAGGGCGGGGCACGUGAAACCCUGUCUGAAUUUGCCGGGACCACCCGGUAAGGCUAAAUACUAACCAGACACCGAUAGUGAACUAGUACCGUGAGGGAAAGGUGAAAAGAACCCCGGGAGGGGAGUGAAAUAGAUUCUGAAACCAAUUACUUACAGUUAGUCAGAGCCCGUUAAUGGGUGAUGGCGUACAUCUUGCAGAAUGGACCGGCGAGUUAUGUCAACAUGCGAGGUUAAGUAGAAUAAAGCGAAGCCGUAGAGAAAUCGAGUCUGAAUAGGGCGAUUUAGUAUGUUGAUAUAGACCCGAAACCAGGUGAUCUACCCGAGUGAGCAGGUUGAAACUAUAGGUAACACUAAGUGGAGGACCGAACCGCAGUACGCUAAAAAGUGCCCGGAUGACUUGUGGGUAGGGGUGAAAUUCCAAUCGAACUUGGAGAUAGCUGGUUCUCUCCGAAAUAGCUUUAGGGCUAGCGUGUAGUGUUAAAUGAUGGGGGUAGAGCACUGAAUAUGGAAUGGCGGCGCCUAGCCGUACUGACUAUAAUCAAACUCCGAAUACUAUCAUGUAUUACUAUGCAGUCGGUACAUCGGUGAUAACGUCGAUGCACGCGAGGGGAACAACCCAGAUCGUCAGCUAAGGUCCCAAAAUUGUGUUAAGUGAGAAAGGUUGUGAAGUUUCUUAAACAGCUAGGAUGUUGGCUUAGAAGCAGCCACCGUUUAAAGAGUGCGUAAUAGCUCACUAGUCGAGAGACUUUGUGCCGAUAAUUCAACGGGACUAAAACACAAUACCGAAGCUACGGGCAGAAAUGCGUUAGGAGAGCGUUGUAAGGGCUUAGAAGCCAGACCGUGAGGACUGGUGGAGCGCUUACAAGUGAGAAUGCCGGUAUGAGUAACGAUUCAGAGUGAGAAUCUCUGACGCCUAUUGGGGAAGGUUUCCUGGGCAAGGUUCGUCCACCCAGGGUUAGUCGGGUCCUAAGACGAGGCCGAAAGGCGUAGCCGAUGGACAACAGGUUAAUAUUCCUGUACUUUCUUAACAUGUGAUGGAGUGACGGGGAAGGAUAAUUUUACCACUAAUUGGAUUGUGGGGUAAGUAACAACUGGGUUAUGUAGGCAAAUCCGCAUAACUUAACUGGGAGUUACGAUGCAUAGCAAAAGGGCAACUGAGUAGCGAAUUAGAUGAUUUCAUGCCUCUUAAAAAAGCUUCUAACAUUAAGUGUUAGGAAACCCGUACCGAGAACGGACACACGUCCCCAAGAUGAGUAUUCUAAGGCGAGCGAGAAAACUAUUGUCAAGGAACUCUGCAAAUUCAUCCCGUAAGUUCGCAAGAAGGGAUGCCCACAAUAAAAUGUGGGCCGCAGUGAAUAGUAAGGGGGAACUGUUUAUCAAAAACACAGCUCUAUGCUAAGUCGUAAGAUGAUGUAUAUGGGGUGACUCCUGCCCAGUGCCCGAAGGUUAAGCAGAGGUGUUAGCAUUAGCGAAGCAUUAAUGUGAAGCCCGGGUGAACGGCGGCCGUAACUAUAACGGUCCUAAGGUAGCGAAAUUCCUUGUCGGCUAAAUACUGACCUGCACGAAAGGAGUAAUUAUCUCUUAACUGUCUCGACAAUAGACUCGGUGAAAUUAUGGUUCCGGCGAAGACGCCGGAGACCCGCAUCUAGACGAAAAGACCCCGUGGAGCUUUACUAUAACUUCAUAUUGGAGUUUGAUUUAACAUGUGUAGGAUAGGUGGGAGACGUUGAUGCUUGAACGCUAGUUUAAGAGUAGUCGCCGUUGAAAUACCACCCUUGUUACAUUGAACUUCUAACUUGUUCCCGUCAUCCGGGAAGAGGACAGUGUGUGGUGGGUAGUUUGACUGGGGCGGUCGCCUCCUAAAGGGUAACGGAGGCGUUCAAAGUUACACUCAAUACGGUCAGAAACCGUAUCUAAGAGCAUAAAGGUAGAAGUGUGAUUGACUGUGAGACCUACAAGUCGAGCAGGUGCGAAAGCAGGACUUAGUGAUCCGGCGGUUCUUCGUGGAAAGGCCGUCGCUCAACGGAUAAAAGCUACCCCGGGGAUAACAGGCUUAUCUUUCCCAAGAGAUCACAUCGACGGGAAGGUUUGGCACCUCGAUGUCGGCUCAUCGCAUCCUGGAGCUGGAGUCGGUUCCAAGGGUUGGGCUGUUCGCCCAUUAAAGCGGUACGCGAGCUGGGUUCAAAACGUCGUGAGACAGUUUGGUUCCUAUCUGAUGUGGGCGUUGGAAUAUUGAUGAGAGCUACUCUUAGUACGAGAGGACCGGAGUGGACGCACCGAUGGUGUGCCAGUUGUUUCGCCAGAAGCAUAGCUGGGUAGCCAAGUGCGGCAGGGAUAACCGCUGAAAGCAUCUAAGCGGGAAGCCCCCUCAAAGAUUAGUAUUCCCUUUAAAAUUCCUUAUAGACUAUGAGGUUGAUAGGCUGGAGGUGUAAGUGCAGCAAUGCAUUCAGCUGACCAGUACUAAUAAAUUUAUUGGUUUAAUAGUAAUAUUCUAUAUAGUU